CCCCUUACCUUCCAUCUUCUUCCCCGCGCCGUCCGCCCGAACUCGCCGCCGCGUUUCCCUCCUUCCCCGCGCGAACCCCGCGUGCCCGGGCCUUCCUCCUCCCCUCUUAAUUAGCGCCCAAGCCAUUCCUCUCUUCCUAUCCCUCAACCUCCAGCACGCGAUGCCCCUGCGAGGCGCUCAGCACCCCAAUGCGUGACCCCGGCCAGUGCUCCCCGACGGCGACGCGACGGCUCCCCGCUGCAGCUUCCCUCAGUGUGGCGCCCCUUCCUCGGCGUUGAUGCGCGGGUGCCAUCCCUCCUGACUGCCACCGGUCUCCUUGUUUCCCUUGGUGAGCACGUCCUCUAGCAGAGCAUCUUCGAUUUCUAUAGUCCGCCCUCAAUUCCUCUGCUCGUUCCUGCAGGCCAUCCCACCAUCUCCUUGGAGCCCAGCAAGUGCUCGACGAAAUGCCCCACCACGACAGCAGCACAAGACAUAUCCCUGCCCAUGCCCAAGCUGCAACCUGGGCACCCACCAAGUGUUUAGGAUUAUGCUCCAAAGCUUGGUGAGAUGACAACCAUGACCUUGGACUGAAUCGCGAGCCCGAGCUCGAUGCUGAUCGUCAUGGCGAUGCCCCUUCACGACGCCAACUCGUUUCGGCAUCAACUCUCUUCCUGCCACAGCCCUCGACGUUGAACUACCGGAGAAGCAUCAGUACCAGUACCCGGAGCAGCCGCCUUCUGACC